AACGACGACCACCCUGAGUUCGGUUUAAUUGAGAAGUGUCUGCGGUUAACCACAACGUUCUAAUUGGGAUCACUUUGUUAACCAGCAGCACACUCCUCACUAGGGUGGCCGUUCGUUCGGCAGAUUUGUUCGGGAAAAGAGUCAUUCGAAUGGCUGGGCUAUAGAAACCAGCCAUUCAUACGAACGGGGGACAAACAGACGAACGGGC